GACGAACGCUGGCGGCGUGCUUAACACAUGCAAGUCGAACGGAAAGGCCCUGCUUUUGUGGGGUGCUCGAGUGGCGAACGGGUGAGUAACACGUGAGUAACCUGCCCUUGACUUUGGGAUAACUUCAGGAAACUGGGGCUAAUACCGGAUAUGAGCUCCUGCUGCAUGGUGGGGGUUGGAAAGUUUCGGCGGUUGGGGAUGGACUCGCGGCUUAUCAGCUUGUUGGUGGGGUAGUGGCUUACCAAGGCUUUGACGGGUAGCCGGCCUGAGAGGGUGACCGGCCACAGUGGGACUGAGAUACGGCCAAGACGCCUACGGGAGGCAGCAGUGGGGAAGAUUGCACAAGGGGCGGAAGCCGGAUGCAGCAACGCCGCGUGCGGGAUGACGGCCUUCGGGUUGGAAACCGCUUUCGCCUGUGACGAAGCGUGAGUGACGGUAAUGGGUAAAGAAACACCGGCUAACUACGU
rnacentral:rRNA from 1 species